GAUUAAAAGAGAUAAUUUUUUAAAACAAAAAGUGGCAAUAGGCUAGGGGGUGAGCUCCCGCACCGCGCUCCCUACGUCAGUAAAUUGGCGCCCCUAAAAUUUGACACAAAUUUCUGCGUUUAUUUUAAACUCAGAAAACCAUCACAAAAUUCACUUUUAUUUUAAAUGGAAAUAGAAAACUAGGUAAAACUAGGUACCAGUGCACUGGUAUAGAAUUUUGUAAAUGUAUUACAUAAAUGGCCUACUAUACUGGCAAAUGGCCUACUAUAGUGGCAUGCCAAGUAAGCAAACGGCUUAUAAUAAACUGUAGGCGAGUUUUAAUUUUAUAAAUUUCAAAUUAAUAAUUUGCAAUAUGGUGCGUUCAAGUAAAAAUUACUGGCUGUGUCAAUAGAGAAGAUUCUCCAGUUAAAGAUACAUCAUUUUGUUUUGACCAGUUUGAAGAUUAUGUCACAUAGAUUAUUCGUGGUGGUUUAAGUUUGAUAUUUUAUUCAUUUUAUUUCAUCAUCUGUACACUUUUGUCUGUCGAGUAAGCUUAUCUAACUGUUUUUUGAUGGUAUCUGACUUUUAUCAAUUUGCCAAUAUAAAUAUAUUGAAUAUAUUUCAACUAAUUGUAAUAUUAUUUUGAAAAGUUAUUUUAUCAUA